ACAACUUUUAACGGUGGAUCUCUAGGCUCGUGCAUCGAUGAAGAACGCAGCGAAAUGCGAUACGUAGUGUGAAUUGCAGAUCUUCGUGUAUCAUCGAAUCUUUGAACGC
rnacentral:rRNA from 1 species